UUCCCCAGCCCUGCGCUCGGCCCGGCCCCGCGGCGCUGUCCGCGUUCAGACCCCGGCGCGGUCGCACCGGCUCAGGGUUUCGGGGAGGUGGUGUAUCACCCGCCGCGUGUGGGACACGUAGGAGCGUGUGUGAUUUCCAGCCGUGUCGGUGUUAACGCUGUUUUCCAUCACCCUCUGGCUUCUGGACAGUACAGCCCCAGCCCUCGUGACGAGAGUGAAAAGGGUGGGGGGAAAUGUGAAAAAUACCUCGGCCAUAUCUUCGUCUAAAUCUCUCUGUGAUUUUACAGGCAGUUUUUGGUGUCCUGGCUGGUUUUUGGAUGUACCCACUGUAUUGCAAGUCCCGAACGUGCCUGGGAGCAGAUGACUGCUUUGUACCCAUCGCACUGCGAGGCAGAACUGCCUCGGGAGUCUGCUGUAAGGAUGCUGUGCAUUGGGAUAGAACAGGCUCCUAUUAAGUGAUUUGGCGCUACUGAAAAUAGCGAACGAGAGGGAAUCCAGCUUCGGUAUUUCAAAGCAAACUUUAGCUCACAUUACAAGAUGCCUGCUUAAACGUGGCAUGCUGGCAUCAAAUGCAGUGCUGCUUCACCUGCGUGGCCAAGAGAUACAAAUAGUCACUUCAUAUGACUUGAUGGAUGUGUUGACAUUACUGAGCCUCAACAGAGAUGACUCUCUUGCAGACUGAGGGACAGGACCAACUCUUCAGGAACAAAGCACACAGCUGGAGAUCUUGGAGCCCUCCACUGAGCAGGGUAAACAUCAUUACCUUUGUUUCACCUACGGGAGAACUGAGGCUCAGAGCAGUGAAGCCCCUUGCCUGUGGCCACUCAGCAAGGCCAACACAUUAUUCUGGUUUAAACUGUUAUGAUAAAUGCAACUUGAAAUAGGAAUAGAACAGACAGGGACACACAGUUCUCAGUGACAUAGGAGAGAAAAAGAAGAGAUGACUGAUGUCAGCAGCCCAAAUUUAUUUUUUAUAGCUCUAGAAUACAUAAUGUGAAGUAAAAUGACAAGUGGAAGCUGUAAGCUUUGGAUCCUCAAUGCUUUAAACUACAAGCUAAGUAGCUGUAACAGGCAGACACUCCACUGUAUGCACAAAUACAUGUGCACACAAUAGUUCUGAUGUGUGGUUUGUGCCCUUAAAUAAUUAAUUUCCUUAGUUUUCCAACUUUCAGCAAAAUUAAGGUAACUUACAACUACAAAAAUGGAGACACGUGUAUACACCAGAAGACUUUCACAGCCCCCAAAGUCCUUAGAGAUAGAAUAGGAUAGGACAGAAUAGAAUAUUCUGGUUAGAAGGGACUUGCAAUUGUCUGGAAGCUGCAUAUGACCACUAUCCUGUUGGGGUCAUCUGUUUGGGGUAAGUUAUGUAUCACAGGGCAGAAACUAUAUGACUGACAACCUGUGGCUGCCACAUCAGAAAGAGCAUUAUCUUAAAAAGUAGAAGCCCAGAAAAUACCCACCAGUGUUACUGGUGGAUUACACUCUUUGAGGUAGCAUAACAUUUUUAAGGCCUAAGAAAGUAAGAUGCUUUUGUUAAAGUUCCUCUUCCUUUAAAAAAAUCGCCUUUCCUCACCUCUUCUUUCUCUUUUUCCUCACAAGAAAUGAAGAAAUGCAGCUAUUUUUUACCUUACUUUGAGGAGACCAUAGAGGCAUUGUCCACCAGUGUAACGUUUCCUGAAGGAAUCAGGAAAGAACAGUAUAAAAGGCCUAUUUUUAGCAACACUCUUUUGGUAUUAAAAGUUCUAAUUAUUCUAAUUUCAUCACCUCUUCUUCUUCGUCCCCAGCUACUCGGGAGUAUCAGGGGCUUCCUCAUUUCCUUCCCUCUUUCCCACUUCCAUAUUUCCUUUCCCUCCUCCUUCUGCAGAGGGCCAUGGCACUUCAGCUGUGCAGUGCUACCACCCUCUGGGCACCGUCCACAUCACAGUCCUGUCUGCAGGAGUGCCCUGAGCUCCACCAUCUGCCUCGGAUAUCUCUGUGAGAUAAAUGCUGCCUUUCAGUGUACCCAGUAAAAAGAGACAGUGAUUUACACCUGAUGCAGCUUUACACAAUGCCUGUUUCGGCCACUUGCUUUUGUAAAGAGACUUCAUCUGGGUGAAAAAUGCAAAGGUAAACACUUCCAAAUGUAUUGGUCCUCCACUGGUCCAGCACCCGUGGUUGGUGGGUUCAUCUCCUCGUGAGUCCAUGUAAGAUGCACCCUUUGAAAAAAAAGUUCAGUAGCAUCUCUAACACUUCCAAAAACAAGCUAUUCCUUCUUUUCCUCUAAUCUACCAUCUUGUCCAUAGCCAAGUGCUCAUUUAUUUAAAGAACGAAAAGCUAUCAGGAAAAAACACAUCUACUAUGCCCACCAUUUUGCUAUAAAAGUACAUUUCCCAAAAUUAAAACCAGGAACUCUUGACACACAGGAUUCAUUUUUUCUUUUUUCACUUUCAUCCACAAGAGAGACCGUGGCUAUCUGCCCAGAUGAAGAGAGAGCGACAGAAAACAGUGGCAUCUUGCAUCACACCAUUUUCAAUGGUCAAAACUGGCAUGUCACAGGAUGUGAAAAGCAAUGAAUGUCAAAGUCAAAGGAACUUUGUACCAAGGCUGUACUUUAUCUCUGGUUCCUCUCUGGGUACCAACAGCAAAUGUGUGUCUUUGGGUGAUGAUAUUUGUGGAAAGUAAAUAUAUUUUGUCUGUGCCGUGGCUUACCUUUGGGGGUACUGCUUCUUACACCAUUUUCUAAUGUUGAUGACACGAUGUAUUACAAUAGUAAUAAUGAAAAACAACCACUACAGUAACAAAAAUAGAACAAAAAACCCCCAACCAAAAACCAACAACAAACACACCAAAAAACCCCCCCAACUUCACAAUCCAAUAUAGAAAAUUAAGUUCAUCAGACAAAGAUUUCCCACACUGCAGCUUAUUUUCUCAGAUGUGUGUUCCUUUUGAGAAGCAGAUGCUCUAUUUCAUUUAAUAUAACAGAUAAUGAUGGAAAUUACAACACCUAUUUGUAAUCAAGAUAAGGGUUUGGAUUAUUUUGCUUUAUGAUUCUAAAUCUCUUACUAGCUGAGUGGGUAAAAACAUGCAUAAGGCUGAAUGACUCAUCCUUGUGCUUCACAGGUAGAUGUGUCUGCCAUCAAAACCUACUGAGAGCAGAGGUGAAGAGGGCAUGUCUUAGAUGUCCCUCCUUGAUACACCUUCCCACAGAUGAAUCUCCAAAGAUACAGAGAGUCCUUUCUCAAACUUUCUUACAAGCUGGAAAACUUCAAAAUAUCUUUGCAAAAGAAAUAACAUAGUUGUAUGGUGCUCUUUUCCCCAGCAGCUUGUGUAGUUUCUACAACAACUCUGUCUCCAAAAAUCCCAGUUGAACAGGCUGGCUCCUAUACCAUUUAUUAAGCCCUAAACUCUUCUAGUUGCCCACCAGCCAGCAAGUCUGACCAACGCAGAAUAGAGGAAAGGAUGGGGGAAAAAAUAUCAAAAAGUGUCACAGUUUAAAGACACCAAAUCUGUAAGGAAGGAAAGUGAGGAAAAUGACAAGUUCAGGUUUUCUCCCUGAAAACACUUGCCACCAGCUGGCUCUGUUUAAAAUGCCUUGUUUGAUGCCAAAUGCCACCUUAUUUUACAAAAAAAGAAGCUGAUUGAAAAGUUGCUUCCUAGCUUGUGUGAGACAGAACUCAAGUAAUCUAAAACUCUAGAGAUCUGUGCUGUGAAUGCUUGGUGAAUGACAAGGCUUCCUGCAUUUUGGGUAGGAAAAUUCAUUUUUCUGGAUAUGUAUGUGUGCUCAAACUAAAAAAAAAGAUUCACUUCAAAUGAAAAUAAAAAUCAGAAACUGACUUUUAUGAGAUUUUUCAUCUCUGAUCCCAAUCAGAAUCAAUCACAGCAUCACAGAAAUGCAUGCUGAUGUGGCAUGAUGAAGAUAGACAGAUCCACGCGUCUGACGAUUCUAUACAAAUAUCAUUAUUGAAUGAGAAGAGCCACAGUGGGCGAAUUGCCUAGCUGGGGCAUCGUCCUUCAAAAGGCAAUGUACAGCUGAUAAAAGAGAUAGGAACAGCUCCUCAAUCCUUUCAAAUAGGCACCUGAAUUUAAAUUAAAGCUGCCACUUCACCCACUGCUGAUCAUAAUUUUGUCCAGUGUACCUGGGGUCAUUGGUCAACCCCAGAGUGCCAGACCAUACGACUGUCACAGUGCCACCCUUAUCUCCAGAGUCCAGAGAACACAAAAGCUUGGGGUUUAGUACCUUGCUGGGGGAAUUUGCACAUGUGAGUUCACCUCUUUGUUACAGCUUUCUCACCAAACACAGAUGAGAAUAAUGGUAAAGCAGGUGAGCAUGAAUGGAUGAAAAAGAGAACAAGGAAGCUAGAUUGUCAUGUGAAAGGGGGGAGUUUAGAUUUUUGCCUGUUGGCGCCCCCAGGAAAGUCGAGACCCAUGUGUCCGACCAGUCUGGCAGCAUCGCACAAUGAGAGCCUUCACCAACAGAUUCACAAGAUUGGAGGGUGAUUUGAUUGCCUUUGUCAGGGGGUGGUUAGUCGACAGCAUGAAGACCCCUCAGCGGGCCCUGCCAAAGUAUUAUCUGCUGCUGGACCCACUCUAACAGUUCAUGCAACAACACCUUUUAUUAAUACAAAUUGUGGCAGGUUUGUGGUCGUUGGUGAUAGGGUGCAAAAAUAUGUUUUAAAGCAAUCUACUGGUAUAUGUAUUAAGCAAGCACAAGCUCUAAACCUAAAAGCAGUAUUUAACAAGCGUAGAAUAUAAUUCUUACCAAAUGCAUCUCUGUGGGGAGAGAAUAUAGGCAGUUUCAAAGUACCACAAGUUCCCCCUUUCUGCCAGGAUUUCAAUGGAGGGAGGCCACGUAGUUUUCACUUCAUUCCACUCUCCAUUCCAUCCCUCUAAGCAGAUGAUUAUCAUCGUACAGGGAGCACGUCAACUGCAUUCUGUCCAGGCAGUAGCAGCUGCAUUUAUCACAGAAUUCUUAACCUCCUCUAAAUUUUAACCAUAUCCAUCAUCCCACAUAGAUAUUAUCAUAGUGUAAGAGAAAAGGUUUAUUUUGUCACUUGAUUUACCACCCUUGGAGACACAAAGUCAGAACGCACAUAAGCUAUAAUAAAACCAGGUAACAUGAUUUGAAAGGUGAACACAGCUCUGACAGUUGUUAGUGUUGGCCUUCCAUCAAACAAGAAGACACAUUGCUUGUUAAACAAGUCUAACAGCACUAGUGUUUUCCAACAGCAUUACUUUCUGGAGUCAAGUGUUGCAAUCUAUAAAGUGUCUUGCUACCCUUAUUUAGGAGAAGAGCCUUAUGAAUGUGAUAAUCUUUUAAGGUCCAAUUUUAUCAUAUAACAUGCUGCAACUUAUGUUUCCUAUAUAUGGUUCAUAAUGAGAUUAGUGGAGUAUAAAUGUUCAUGCAAUUUAAAUAGUCUCUUGAGUGUCUGCAAUUAGAAAUAUAGUGCUCUGUAUUUGCCUGCGGGCACUGAUGUU